rnacentral:rRNA from 1 species
UACGUAGGGUGCGAGCGUUAAUCGGAAUUACUGGGCGUAAAGCGUGCGCCGGCGGUUAUUUAAGUCAGGUGUGAAAGCCCUGGGCUUAACCUAGGAAUUGCGCUUGAGACUGGAUAGCUUGGAGUGCGGCAGAGGGAGGUGGAAUUCCACGUGUAGCAGUGAAAUGCGUAGAGAUGUGGAGGAACACCGAUGGCGAAGGCAGCCUCCUGGGCCAGCACUGACGCUCAUGCACGAAAGCGUGGGGAGCAAACAGG